rnacentral:misc_RNA from 1 species
CAGAGUUCAUGCCCUUCGGGGUAUACCUCCCACCCAUUGUUUAUUAUACCUUUGUUGCUUUGGCAGACCCGGCUUCGGCCCACCGGCUCCGGCUGGUCAGUGUCUGCCAGAGGACCUAAAACUCUGUUUGUUAAUAUUGUCUGAGUACUAUAUAAUAGUUA